rnacentral:rRNA from 1 species
UACGUAGGGACCAAGCGUUGUUCGGAUUUACUGGGCGUAAAGGGCGCGUAGGCGGCUUAACAAGUCACUUGUGAAAUCUCCGGGCUUAACUCGGAACGGCCAAGUGAAACUGUCAAGCUAGAGUGCAGAAGGGGCAAUCGGAAUUCUUGGUGUAGCGGUGAAAUGCGUAGAUAUCAAGAGGAACACCUGAGGUGAAGACGGGUUGCUGGGCUGACACUGACGCUGAGGCGCGAAAGCGUGGGGAGCGAACAGG